rnacentral:lncRNA from 1 species
GCAGGCUCGAAGAGUAAUUCUUAACAAUCAAUUAUAAUUUUUGAUUGUAGAUUUCUCAAGUUAAAAUUAAUUAUAUCUCUAUAACAUUCCUAUAAUUUGCUGGCAUCAAUAUGGCAUUUAUGUUGCAUUUGAUAUAAAUUGUGAAGAAUGAUCUUCUCCUUCCCUCUUGUAUUAUGCAUAAAAAUUCUGGUUGUUGGUUUUUUAUAACCAUUUCUGUACAUCUUCCACUAGCUUCUUUUCCUCAUCUUACCAUAGCUCUUGACUGUAUCAUAAUAUCCCACAUUACAACAGAAACAAAAAUGAAGGAUGGAUCAAGUCCAUGAUGUGGUCAAAAUCCAGAAAAGCUAAUGGAAUGGCCAGGCCAAAGCCAAGUGUCAGGAAUUCAAUCUAGAGCUCCCUCAUGGGUGGCAGCAACUCAUGUACUUGAGCCAUUGCCACUGCCUUCCAGAGUGUGUGUUAUCAAAUGCAGUUAGUAACCAGAGCUGGGAUUUGAAUCUAAGCACUAUGAUGUGAGAUACAAACCUCAUAUUUGGCAUGUUAACCAGUAGACCAAAUGCUACCCAUAAAUAUUUUUAUUUUUAAUUUUAAGGUGAACUAGAACAAUUUGGAAAAUUAUAUAGGUAGGGGACAUAUUAAGAUCUUGGUGGGUAAGUAAUGACAGAUGAGGGAACAGAGGUGGAAGAGGUGUGAAAGGUAAAGGAGAUAGGAUGCUCCAAAGUGUCACAUAGGAAAAACAAAAAUAGGAUCAGCAACGAUGGAUGAGGUGAUGAAAAGAUAAAGAGGAAGGAGAGCAGGGCAAUGCUGACAUGGGAAAAGGGUAUUAAUAUUGAGAUAAUUUGGAACUUCAAAAAGGAGUCUGGCUUGUGGAAAAGGCUGAAGAUUAUAAUUUAUUAGCAGUACUCCCUCUGAAGUGAGAAGAAAAGAUACAAAUUGUUCCAUGCAUAAGUAGAAAAGAAAGUAUGAGGCUCAAUACAGGCAUCAAUGUUAGGCAGUUUUGAGAAACAUCUGUAUAUCCAUAUCUAUAUCUAUUCCAGACAGGAAGAGCUAUCAGUAGACACUGAGAGAGGUGGGCAAAGGAAGAAAGAAGUCCAGAGUCAGCAACAUGCUCGGAUGGAAAUCACUGCUGCUGUGCAUCUGACAUCUCCUCAGCCAGGACACGCACUGCAGUUCCCACAGCCCUGGUGAUCCUCUAGAGUAAGAUGAUGUCACCUUCCCUUCACCGCUAUGCUUGUGAUGUUUUUCUUCAUGUUUCAGAUUCAGAAGAGUAAAACAUUACAAUUUUUCUGGCAUCCAAAUGUCUCUUUCACAAAUAGGAAGAGGACAGAUCAAUGAAAAUAGCAGUUUGUUUCAAGAAAAUUAGAGACUUUGUUACUUGGUGGAAGUGAAGAAGAUGUCUCUAUAAUUACAAUGCAUUCAGUUGGCCGGCGCAGUGGCUCAAUAGGCUAAUCCUCUGCCUGCGGUGCCAGCACACCGGGUUCUAGUCCGGGUAGGGGUGCCGGAUUCUGUCCGGGUUGCUCCUCUUCCAGUCCAGCUCUCUGCUGUGGCCUGGGAGGGCAGUGGAGGAUGGCCCAAGUCUUUGGGCCCUGCACUCGCAUGGGAGACCAGGAGGAAGCACCUGGCUCCUGGCUUUGGAUCGGCGCAGCACAGUGUGGCAGUCACAGUGCACCAGCUGCAGUGGCCAUUGAGGGGUGAACCAAUGGAAAAGGAAGACCUUUCUCUCUGUCUCUCACUGUCUACUCUGCCUGUCAAAAAAAAUUUUUUUAAAUAAUAAAAUGCAUUCAGUUAACA